rnacentral:misc_RNA from 1 species
GUUUUGUUGUUCCCACUUGUUUUUAGUUGUCAAACUUACAUACUUGUGCAGAGCACGGGUUGAACGCGGCAGCGAACGCCACAGCGCAUCGCCGCCGGAACUGAUGCAGGGCCGAAGCCCUACUCGGAUUUGUUAAUGAUCCUACCGCAGGUUCACCUACGGUAA